rnacentral:rRNA from 1 species
AUUGAACGCUGGCGGUAGGCCUAACACAUGCAAGUCGAACGGCAGCACAAGAGAGCUUGCUCUCUGGGUGGCGAGUGGCGGACGGGUGAGGAAUACAUCGGAAUCUACUCUGUCGUGGGGGAUAACGUAGGGAAACUUACGCUAAUACCGCAUACGACCUACGGGUGAAAGCAGGGGACCUUCGGGCCUUGCGCGAUUGAAUGAGCCGAUGUCGGAUUAGCUAGUUGGCGGGGUAAAGGCCCACCAAGGCGACGAUCCGUAGCUGGUCUGAGGGGAUGAUCAGCCACACUGGAACUGAGACACGGUCCAGACGCCUACGGGAGGCAGCAGUGGGGAAUAUUGGACAAUGGGCGCAAGCCUGAUCCAGCCAUACCGCGUGGGUGAAGAAGGCCUUCGGGUUGUAAAGCCCUUUUGUUGGGAAAGAAAUCCAGCUGGCUAAUACCCGGUUGGGAUGACGGUACCCAAAGAAUAAGCACCGGCUAACUUCGUGCCAGCAGCCGCCGUAA